AGCUAAAAAUGGAGACAAAAUUACCUAUUUUAUGGUGCUGAUGUGACGAUUUAGCUUUAGCGUAAACGGGAUGAACGCCAACUCUAGACACUCAUACGUUAGGUUAGAUGCUUCAUGUUUUUAGGGGCGGGUAGAGGAGCACCAGCUACACUACUUAGGGAUCCGCAAGGCCAUGGCCCACUCAGACACUUCUCUCCGCCCCGCUCCCCUUCCAGCUGUGGGGCGAUUCUGAAACACCGCCUUCUUCCCGCGGAAAAAGCCAAGAGCCGCGCGCGCGCGGGUGAAGUCUGGCCUCCUGAGCCGGGGCACCCUUCUCCGGGGAGGUCGGACCGGCUGCCCCGACCCCAGCGCUGCCCAGCUCACAGGCGGCGGAAGCUGUGAGGAAGUCCGCCCAAGUUCUCGGCGCCAGCGGAGGGGCAGGGGGCCAGGAUGUCACUCGGCGGUCACUCUCGCCUUAGAGAAGGCACCCCCUUCCGGAGAACGCUGGAGAGAAGCACCAGAAUUGCCCCUGCCCAGCUGAGGGAGUUGAGGGAACUUAGUUACCAUGAGCAGAAACCUUCCUCCAUGAGCAGAACCCCAGCUCCAUCCACGUUGUUGCAAAUGGAGCAGAAUGCAACUUCUGGAUGGACAGCCAUGCUGCUGUUUGGACUGGCCAGCAGGAAGUGACAACCCACACAAGAGCAGGGCUGAGGAAAGGACUGCCCAGUCAUCUGGGGCUGGGAAGUAUCUCCCAGGAUGUUAUCUCCAGGCAUCGGUUGAGGAAUGAUUCAUUAAGUCUUCCUUCGCUGGAGCUUGUGACCAAUGAGCACUGUCUGUUUGUUCAUUUAGAGAAAUGUUGCACUUCCACCAAGCAUUAUUUUUAGCACUUAUGCGAGGUCUAGCAGAGCUCAUGAAUCAAAAGUGGCUCAGAAAGGCUGAGCCUUCAACGUGUUAGGCAGUCGGCCAGAAUGGCCCAUUCAUAUACUGACUUGCCACCAAAAUGAGGUCUGUAUUUUUCAUCCUGUGAACAGGGUCAAGGGGUUGUUUUAUUUGCUUGCCACUGUAGAUAAUCGUGGACCAGAAGGUAGGAAAGGAGGGCUCAUUCAGUCUGCUCAUGUGGCAUGGGGCUGCUGCUCUGCCUGGCAUAUCACUCUGGUACUCUGGCUCUAGUUCCUGCCAACUUUGAAAGUACCCACAGGAAGCUUAGGAAUCCCAGAAUCUAGUGAACAGAACACUCCUUCUAAGCCUGCAUACAUGAAAACUGUCCCUGCCUGUAGAGGGAGUGUACAGUCACUUCAUUUAUAUAAACACUGGGCAGACUGGCACCCAAAGUGUAGAAGGGUGAUCUUACUCCAUAAUACUCUUAUUUCCCUUUUUAAAAAUGUUCCCUGGCAGAGAGAGUAUUUGGAAAAAAAUUAGACAAAAAUAAAUAGGGCUUAAACAUUCUAGUUACCCAUGGGAUAAACGAUUUACAUUUCAACUACUGGCCAAGCCAGCAGCUGCAAGAAGUUGAUAAGGAUGCAGUAAAUGGGGCUGCAGAGCAGAGGAAAACACAUAUUAAAGCCUUUGAAAGGUUGGAUUUUAACAAGUAGAGUAAGAGAAGAAAGUACCUCCCUCUGCUUUUUACCCUCUAUCUAGCUCUUUUUGCAUAUUCUUUUGUGAUUUUUACAGGAUUACAGACAGGUUCUGACGAAUCAUAUGGCCCGGCUAUGGUUUUAAUCUUUCUGUCAUUCUUCUCACUUUCCAGACAUGGUGAACUCCUCCAAAACAUCCCAGCAUUGGAACUGUGCAGACAACAGAGACCUAAGUGCUGUGUGGCCUCACUGAACAGGAACGCACAGCUAAUCCUGGAAAGUGCUUGCUGAAUAUUUCAGUCAGGGUAACAUUACGGAGUUGGAGAAAGAUGGUGGGGCCUUGCUGCAGAGGCCUUUGAUGGCCAAGACCAUCUGCUCUCUUUCUCCAUUAGUUUCCUCUCACUCCAUUAUGACUACCUAGUACCUCCCCCAAAAAAGAAAGGAAGAAGUUAUAAGCUCUACAUUCUGAACUUGCCUAUCCAGGUGUGUUGUGUGCACAAAUUUAUGGGCAGCAUAACCGUGAGAGUCAGAGUGGAUGUGUAUAUUUAUUAUGACACAUUUUCAGCAGACAGCAGUAAGGUGUCUUGAGAAAGACGUAUUUUUAUCAUUUGUACAAGGACACCAUUUGGCCUGGGAGGUGGGGUGCGAUAAUAAAGGCUGCAAUUCA